rnacentral:rRNA from 1 species
GAUGAACGCUGGCGGCGUGCCUAAUACAUGCAAGUCGAGCGAACAGACGAGGAGCUUGCUCCUCUGACGUUAGCGGCGGACGGGUGAGUAACACGUGGAUAACCUACCUAUCAGACUGGGAUAACUUCGGGAAACCGGAGCUAAUACCGGAUAAUAUAUUGAACCGCAUGGUUCAAUGGUGAAAGACGGUUUUGCUGUCACUUAUAGAUGGAUCCGCGCCGCAUUAGCUAGUUGGUAAGGUAACGGCUUACCAAGGCGACGAUGCGUAGCCGACCUGAGAGGGUGAUCGGCCACACUGGAACUGAGACACGGUCCAGACUCCUACGGGAGGCAGCAGUAGGGAAUCUUCCGCAAUGGGCGAAAGCCUGACGGAGCAACGCCGCGUGAGUGAUGAAGGUCUUCGGAUCGUAAAACUCUGUUAUUAGGGAAGAACAAAUGUGUAAGUAACUAUGCACGUCUUGACGGUACCUAAUCAGAAAGCCACGGCUAACUACGUG